UACAGAGGCCACAAGCGUUAGACGGAAUCACUGGGCUUAAAGCGUGUGUAGGCGGGAUGGUAAGUACCUUGUGAAAUCCCACAGCUUAACUGUGGAAAUGCUUGGUAUACUGCCGUUCUUGAGUCACCUAGGGGCAGCUGGAACAGAUGGUGGAGCGGUGAAAUGCAUAGAUAUCAUCUGGAACGCCAAUGGUGCAGACAAGCUGCUGGGGGUGUACUGACGCUCAUGCACGAAAGCGUGGGGAGCAAACAGG
rnacentral:rRNA from 1 species